rnacentral:rRNA from 1 species
UACAGAGGUCCCAAGCGUUGUUCGGAUUCACUGGGCGUAAAGGGUGCGUAGGCGGUCGGGUAAGUCUGAUGUGAAAUCUCACAGCUUAACUGUGAAACUGCAUUGGAUACUAUCCGGCUCGAGGAAUGGAGGGGAGACUGGAAUUCCCGGUGUAGCAGUGAAAUGCGUAGAGAUCGGGAGGAACAUCAGUUGCGAAGGCGGCUCUCUGGACCAGCACUGACACUGAGGCACGAAAGCGUGGGGAGCAAACAGG